rnacentral:tRNA from 1 species
AUAAAGAUGGCAGAAGAAUGUAUUAGAUUUAAGCUCUAAAUAUAAAAAUUAUAUUGAUUUUUUCUUUAUA